rnacentral:lncRNA from 1 species
AAAAAGGUGGUCUUGGAGUCUUCUUGGGAAAUGUCUUUCACUGCAUGGCGCUGUCUUUUAACUUAUCCUCCAGGCCCGUUCUCUGAGGGCGAUGUUCCGUCUUACCUCACCGGCGAGUUCCCUGGCGACUACGGCUGGGACACUGCUGGUCUGUCCGCUGACCCGGAGACCUUCAAGCGCUACCGUGAGCUGGAGCUCAUCCAUGCUCGCUGGGCUAUGCUUGGCGCUCUGGGCUGCGUGACCCCCGAGCUGCUGUCCAAGUACGCUGGCGUUUCGUUCGGCGAGGCUGUCUGGUUCAAGGCUGGUGCUCAGAUCUUCGCUGAGGGCGGCCUGAACUACCUGGGCAACGAGAACCUGGUUCACGCUCAGUCCAUUAUUGCCACCCUGGCUUUCCAGGUAAAUAUCAAAAUUCAAAGAUUGCGUUCACGUGAUUGCGGUCUUCAUUAGGACUAUGUAUAAUGGAUGGCUCGGAAGCUGUGCAUCGAUUGCCCUAAAGUAGCGCGUAUUGUAUGUUACGGAUGAGCUAUUUUUUAUGCAUGCGAGAAUGACGUCGAAAUCAUCAGCCCGUUUCCUUGUUAAAGAUUUGGUGACAACCUCGCUUUUCCUUCCUAUAUUAGGUCGUGGUGAUGGGCCUGGCUGAGGCCUACCGUGCCAACGGCGGCCCGCUGGGUGAGGGCCUGGACCCCCUGCACCCCGGUGGCGCUUUCGAUCCGCUGGGCCUGGCUGACGACCCGGACACCUUCGCUGAGCUCAAGGUCAAGGAGAUCAAGAACGGCCGCCUGGCCAUGUUCUCCAUGUUCGGCUUCUUCGUGCAGGCCAUCGUGACCGGCAAGGGCCCGAUUGAGAACCUGUCUGACCACCUGGCUAACCCCAGCGCCGUCAACGCCUUCGCCUACGCCACCAAGUUCACUCCUUCCGCGUAAAUGGUAUCCCAUCGUCUGUUGAUUCGGGAAGUUGUAUAAAGGUCGGCAGUCAUUUGCGGAUGAGCUGUCUGCUCGGAUUAACUCUUGAGCAUGAGGGUUUUGUAUCAUAUGGCGUGUGCUGGUAUAGCUCUGGACCAAUAUCCAAUAGUUUUGGUCUUGUGCUUUUAGUGACUGGAUGUAUUUUUGGCGGUUAACAAUUUCAUUGCAAACCAACUUAAAAUCCAAUCAUUUCUGUAAACAAAAUAAGCUUGUCUCGUGAUGUCAAGUUCCUUGAAAUCUGGUUUUGGCACUGUUCAUAACCUGACCUAAUUGGCAACUGUUGACCAACGGCUAUCUCAAUACAGUACGCUAGUGCAAAAUACUUCAUUCCUGUUGACAGCCAAAGUAUAUUUCCUACCAAUUUCUUAUCCCCUUAUGAACUGCUGAAUACUCGGACAAAUACUACAAAGUUGCAACGAUAUUACCUUAAACUUCUCUUUAGUACGCGGGGAAUAAGACAGAAUUUUGUGCUAUCGUCCCACUUGAGCAGAAAUCUCGUCUUCCGCCAUAAUUACUAACGAUGUUAUCUCCGACAUUUGGGCCCGUUUAACUGCAUUUGCGGCGCGGGAUUACUUGCCAAAACGUUGGGAACACGUGCCUCACAAAACCACAAAACCUUUCUUACACGUCAACAAGGCAGACAUGGUUGUUUGCCGCUUACCGAUGUACCAUAACGAGGGCUUUAGGGUUUUAGGCUCACGUCAUUAUUAGGCUCACGUCGGAGCCUAAUAAUUUUUGUAUGAGCGUACUAACUGAGGCCUUGUGAAUGCGAUUGUUACAGUGGACCCCGAACGGGUCGAGUGCAGCGUCCCUCGGAACGCCUCCCGCACAACACCGUGGGCCUUAUUCAAAAAGAACUCGACCACGCCGUACUAACUUCACUGGACAGAAGGCCGCAGUUAGUACACUCAUACAGAAAAUAUGAGGCUCUGACGUGAGCACUCAGACCUCGUCAUUGUACAUCGGUAAGCGGCAAACAGCCAUGUCUGCGUUGUUGACAUUUAAGAAAGGUUUUGUGGUGUGAGGAACGUGUUCCCAGCGUUUUGGCAAGUAAUCCCGUGGUGCAAAAGCAGUUAGACGGGCCCAAAAGUCAGAGAUAACAUCGUAAGUCAUGCGGUUAAGCGUUGACGUAGAUACGGCCAUGUUGGCCUGAAGACCUUCCCUAAACAACAAAGGCGACCGAGAUUGAGUGAGCUGAUGGCCGCGAGGCAUACAACCUCCCACACACACCCAUAAACCGAGGUCGGUGGAAUGCCCAACCACAAGUUAGCCCGGUUAAAAAGGUCUGGAAACUCUAGUUCGUUCGCCUUGUGACCAGUGAAGUUAGUACGGCCUGGCCGAGUUCCUAGGGGCGCUGCACUCGACCCGUUCGGGGUCCACUGUAACAAUCGCAUUCACCAUCACAGAACAUUAGAAACGUAAAAGUCAGCUAUCACAAAACUUCGUUGUCCAAGACAGUUUGAGUUAGCACUGGCUACGUGGUCAACUCUAUUGAAGCGUAAUAACAUAUCGGUAUCAACGCAUAUCUAUUGCAGGAGAACCACAUCGCUCCAUCUCUCGGAAAGAGACUAUCGUCGCAAGCUCCGCAGAUGUCUAUCGCGAAGCGAACCAUUCUACAAAGUAAGAUCCGUAAUACAGUUAAAUAGGCUUUAGGUUCCGAAUAUGCAUCGUGACAGCCAACACAACGCACAUCCGUGUGAGCACAAAAAGGGCCAUAAAUGUUUUAACCUUCGCGAUAAUAAAUUGGUGAUAUGUUCAUCUACUUGGAUAAAUGAAGUAAACAAGAAGUCCUAUAUGAAUCGUAACAAGGACAAUAACUGUUUCAGCAUCAAAGAAUACUCCGAGGACAAAACCAAAGUAUUACAACUUAAAAGUAUGUUACACCUGUGAUACAUUCAUCGCUUAGGAAAGGGAAGCCGUAACCCUUAGCAAAGGCAGCUCGUACAAAUCUCUGGACGUACAAUCAGUCCGAUUCCCAGGCCUUAUGAGGUCCUAUGGCAAGGUCAAAAGCCAAAGUCGCAUCGUAAAUCGUUACACAGUUGCUCCCUUCUGUGUCCAUACAUUUCAUUCAGUAAAGAUGGCCGCUAUUGCGAAGUCCGCUGUGCGCAGCUCUGUGCGCCCGACUGUUGCCAGCCGGGUGAGUCGAGAUGCCUUUGGAACGUAGCAUCUUCAUUAGUCUUCCAAAUAUGAAGCUACUUUAGUCAAUCUUAGUAACCCGAUGUUCAUAUCCGAGAACUCGGGGUCGCUUCAGUAAUCCUACAGCUCUCGGAGUGCCUCGACUUUAACUGGGGAUCUGAUCUCUUUGACCCGUUCAGGCUGCCCGCGUGGUGCAACGUGCCGCUAUCGAGUGGUAUGGCCCUGACCGCCCGAAGUUCCUGGGUAAGUUUUCGCACAACCGAUGGUGCAGCGCAUCAAUUUAUGAUAGAAGUUUCUUCGUUCCAUAGUGACAAAUUAAUAGCUUAUGCUUUUCCUUAUGUAAUAUCCUGGUGUUCCUUUGUUAUCCUCAUGUAUUCCAAAGAUUUGUUGUUGGUCAUAACCGACCCGAUCCACUCUGAUGUAGAGAUAUUAUGACUUGGAUAUGCGCCUUAUUACCUGUACUUGUUUGACUCGGUGCAGGCCCGUUCUCUGAGGGCGAUGUUCCGUCUUACCUCACCGGCGAGUUCCCUGGCGACUACGGCUGGGACACUGCUGGUCUGUCCGCCGACCCGGAGACCUUCAAGCGCUACCGUGAGCUGGAGCUCAUCCAUGCUCGUUGGGCUAUGCUUGGCGCUCUGGGCUGUGUGACCCCCGAGCUGCUGUCCAAGUACGCUGGCGUUUCGUUCGGCGAGGCUGU